CAGGAUUCCAUUUCAAGCUGUCACAGCAGCCACGUGGGGAUGAAAUAUCUCCGCUUUGGAGAUUCCUCCUCCCAGCUGGGGUAAAGCAGCCUGGAUUCCUCCAAGGCUGUGAAGGCUGGCCCAAGGGGUGCACAGAGAUGCCCAAGGGGGCUGGAGACCACCUUCACUCGGCAGCAGACACAGGCUCAGAGCUGCUGGAAGCCUCCUGGGAUGCUCCAGAGUCGGAAUUGAAAAUGGACACGGACACUGCCACUGCCUGCUCACGUUUUCCCAGCAAUCCCAAACUGAAGAGAAGCGGUUUUUUUCCCUUUCCUAGGAGGAUUUUCUUACAUGGGAUACGAGGCGAGUGAUUCCAGGCGACUCUGGGCCACGGUGCCAGGAGGGAUUUGGGCUUGGAGCAGACCUGGAGGAUGUUGUGCUCCCCUUUGGAUGGCCACAAAACCCCGGCAGAUCACAGAUACGGGGAGCAAAGCCCCAGCUCAGCACACCACACGCUCCUUAUGUAAUUGUGCUGAGAUGGCCAUUGGCACAGGAGCCGGGAUUUAUGUCUGAAACAGCGAGUGUAGGAAUUCCGUCUCCUUGGUGAUGGAACCAACCAAUGGAAAACACACACACACAUACAAAAGGGGCUCUAAACCCAUCCUUGGACCUUGCUUUUAUUUUCAGAGUGGAGGACAGUGAAUUAGGCUCGCCUGUGGCUAUGAGCAGGGUGUAAAUGUGCCUGGCGUGGCUCUGGCCACCACCUGAGUGAUCCCAAACCAGGCUCAGCUAUCCCAGGAAAGGAGAAUUAGGGUUAAAAAGUCAUGUGGUAAUGAGAGCCCUUCCUGGCACCCUGUGCACUGUCCUUACCACACAGUCUCCCCCUCCAACCUCCCAAAAACAGUGCUGAGUUUGGGUAUAAGUAAUUCCUGCCUUCCCUGCCGAGCCCUGGAUUAAACCCAGCAUUAAUAAAAAUUAAACUGUCUGUGUUAGCACACCAGGUGGGGAAAAACAGCCCAUGUGAUCCACAGCAAAGAGGGAGCUGCUCUCCUUUGAAGCCCUCUGAGGCUUUCAGGGAGGAGUCAGAGUUUAGGACAGCAGGAACAUCAUCAUCAUCAUCUCCCCAGCCACAUAGGGUCAGGCCACCCUGGCUUUGGGAAGUUGCGGGAUGGGGUGGAUGGCAAAUCCAUGGUUUUCUGGAGUGGUGCUGGUGGUGUCUUUCCAGCACAGGGUUUGCCAAGUGGCAGUGAGGGGUUUUGGAGAUUUCCAUGGUGGUUGGGAGAUCUCAAGGUGAGGGUUUGGCUCAUGGCGCUGCUGGUUGGACAUGGAGGGGUUGAGAGCAAGGGGCAGGUUUUGGAGCAAAGCACUUCAACUACGUUUCUGCCCUCCUGGAUGUUGGUUAUCCUUGGAUCUGGUGCUCUUGAUUUAAAGCCAUGAAGGCUCAGUGUUUUCCAGAGGUGGCCACAUCUUCCCACUGCUGCUGUCACCCGUGUGCCGGGGGAGCAGCACCGUGUCCCCAGCCACCUCUCCUGCCUUGACAACACCAAACCAAACAUCAUCUCCCUCAUCUGAGCAGGCUGGAGAGGAAGAUUAGGCUGCCCAGGUGGAAAGUUUCCCAGGGAAAAUAUCAGAGCCCUGUUUUCUUUCUGCUUAAUGAACAUUGUGACCCUCGCUCCCC